AAAAAUGUUCUGCUUUUUUUCCCUCUGCUUGCUUCUUACUGUCUUUGAGGCUCGGGACCAGCACUCCUGCUGUUGGACAGAAAGACAUCAACUCAGUGACUUGAGAUAUGACUGCACUAUGCUGUUGCUGGUGACUCCAGUUAAUUCUACAAGACAUGCUGUGACACCAGGAGAGAUGAGUCCUCUGUCACAGAUGGUGUGGUGAGUGAAGAUGGUCGCCUGCAGGUUCAAGUUCAUUGCAUCUCCAACCCACAUCCACUGGCACUGUACUUAAGGGAAGUUAAAGACUUUCUUCUGCACCUACAUUUGGAUCACCUGGAUCCAUGACAGUCAUUCAGGCAGUAAUGCCUGGACUGGAAACAAGCCA
ensembl:lncRNA